rnacentral:rRNA from 1 species
GAUGAACGCUGGCGGCGUGCCUAAUACAUGCAAGUCGAGCGCAGCGGGGACGGGUGAGUAACACGUGGAUAACCUCCUAUAAGACUGGGAUAACUUCGGGAAACCGGAGCUAAACCGGAUGCUUAUAGAUGGUUCCGCGCUGCAUUAGCUAGUGGGUAAGGUAAGGGCUUACAAAGGCAACGAUGCCUAGCCGACCUGAGAGGGUGAGCGGCCAAACGGGAACGGAGACACGGGCCAGACUCCUACGGGAGGCAGCAGUAGGGAAUCUUCCGCAAGGGGCGAAAGCCUGACGGAGACACGCCGCGUGAGUGAUGAAGGGCUUCGGAUCGUAAAACUCUGUUAUUAGGGAAGCGGUACCUAAUCAGAAAGCCACGGCUAACUACGUGCCAGCCGCCGCGGUAAUA